GUGGAGGAGAGAGGAGGAGAAAGAGGAGGAGAGAGAGAGGGGGGGAGGAGAGGAGAAAGAGGAGAGAAGAAGGGGGUGGAGAGAGAGAGAAAGAGGAGGAGAGGGGGGGGUGGAGAGAGAGAAAGAGAGGAGAGAGGAGGAGAGAGAGAAAGGGGGAGGAGAGAGAGGAGAAAGAGGGUGGAGGAGAGAGAAGGGGGUGGAGAGAGAGGAGAAAGAGGAGGAGAGAGAAGGGGGGAGAGGGGAGAGGGGAAAGAGGAGGAGAGAGAAGGGGGGUGGAGAGAGAGGAGAGAGAGGGAAAGAGGAGGAGAGAGAAGGGGGUGGAGAGAGAGGAGAAAGAGGAGGAGAGAGAAGGGGGGUGGAGAGAGAGGAGAAAGAGGAGAAGAGAGGAGAGAGGGGAGAAAGAUUAGGAGAGAGGGGAGAAAGAGGAGGAGAGAGCGAGUCUCCAGGCAGUUUUUAUUUUUUUAUUUUUUUUAUUUCACCUUUAUUUAACCAGGUAGGCAAGUUGAGAACAAGUUCUCAUUUACAACUGCGACCUGGCCAAGAU
ensembl:lncRNA